UACGUAGGGGGCAAGCGUUGUCCGGAAUCAUUGGGCGUAAAGAGCGUGUAGGCGGCUUGGUAAGUCCGCUGUGAAAGUCCAGGGCUCAACCCUGGAAUGCCGGUGGAAACUGUCAAGCUUGAGUCCGGAAGAGGCGAGUGGAAUUCCUGGUGUAGCGGUGAAAUGCGCAGAUAUCAGGAGGAACACCAAUGGCGAAGGCAGCUCGCCGGGACGGUACUGACGCUGAGACGCGAAAGCGUGGGGAGCAAACAGG
rnacentral:rRNA from 1 species